rnacentral:rRNA from 1 species
GACGAACCGAGCGAACGUUAUUCGGAAUCACUGGGCUUAAAGGGCGCGUAGGCGGGCUCGAAAGUCAAGGGUGAAAUCCCCCAGCUCAACUGGGGAAGUGCCUUUGAUACUUCGAGUCUAGAGGGAGGUAGGGGCGUGCGGAACUUCCGGUGGAGCGGUGAAAUGCGUAGAUAUCGGAAGGAACACCGGUGGCGAAAGCGGCGCGCUGGACCUCUACUGACGCUGAGGCGCGAAAGCCAGGGGAGCAAACGGG